CCCCCCCCCCCCGCGGGGCCUGACAGAACCGCUCUGCGGGGCCGUGCAGCGCUCACCGAGCGGCCGGAGCAUGGGGCCCCACGGGCUGCGGAGCCGGCACUGCCCGCUACGACCGUGUCCUGGGCGGCCGCUUACGGCUGUGAACCGGGAGAGUGCACCCGAGCCAGGUACAACCAUUUGUCCUUCGCUGCUGCUUCUAUCUGUCAGUUCCUGCUGUGAGUUUCCCUCCUGUGUCAGAACCACGUUCACCAAGGGCUGCCUGGGUCACCCUGUUUGCACUGAGCUUUUUUCAUGUUUCAAGAUAACCCAAGAAAUGACAUGACCAAACAUACCUGUGGCAUUCAUGUUGCAUCAUCUUGAGAUGAUUUCAGACAUGACACCUGGCUUUAUGUUGCUAAAAUUCUACAUUAUCGUGAAACCUUCAGGCUGAUGUUUUUGUAUUGAACUGAAACACUGUAACAGAACAUUAAUAUAUUCAGCAAAAAAAAGAUAAUUCCUUUAAAAACUGAUGCACUGUUUCAAAGAACAACACCUUUUAAUUGCUAGCACAUCAUAAAUAAAUGUUUAUGGUGAUAGAUGAAAUGAUGAGAUUGCAAAUAUGCUGUCAAAAGACCAAGGCAUCAAUGCUCUGUGCAGUGUUGUGCUUAUGACCUGAAUUUUUUAAGAUUUGAGACCCACCUCAUGUCCAAGAAUAUGACUGUUAAUUAAUAUCUGGAUGAUCCAAGGAAAAUAUUUGAUUUACAAUAAAAGAAAGCUGCCACUGAUGUGAAUGACAGUAUUGUGAUUUUGGGGCUGGCAGGAUGAGCAAAUAACAGAUGCACAAAUGUCUUUAAUGUUUUAUGAGGCCUUGAAGGAUAUUUCCAAACCUGUCAGGCCUGGAAUUUUCAUGUGAGGGUUCCCCAUCUGGCACUGAGCACUAUUGUGGAAAGAAAAAGAAAAUGGCAAUGUUUUUAACGUCGCUCUUAAUCUGACAUCCUCAGUGGGCUCUUCAUGAAGCUGAACAUUAGGAUCUCUGUCAUGCUGUGCCCAUUGGAUAUGGCAGAGGCUGGGCUGUCCCUGGCUGUCACACAUGGAAGAUCAGGACAUGGACCAAUGUAAGGACAUGGCCACUUGAAGGGGUUUCUGGGCAGUUAAACCAGGAAACAUCAGUUGCAACCAUGGUGGGAAUUUACCAGACAAGGUCUUGCUAGAGGCCACAUCAGGAUAGGCAGAGAAAAGAUAUUUGUAUUUUCAUUUGUGUAAUUUGCCACGUAUUCCAGUAGACAGAGUAUUUCCACAUACAUGCACAGAAAUGCCAAAGAACACAAACUCCUCUCUUGCUGCAAUUCCCAUCCUUCAGGUGAGAUCUCACUCUUCUAGACUUGAGAAAGGAGCUAGAGGGGAAAUUUGAUUUUCAAGCGUGUCACUCAACUAAGUAAAACUCAAGUAAUGAGUUGUCUGUGAGUGAAAAUGAACAUCAUAUAUUGUACUGCAGAAGUAUUCUGACUUUCUUCCCUCGAAGUUGAGCAACUUAAAACAGGAUUUACAGACGUGAAGCUUACAUGUCGCACACUAAGCAUGCUGCUUUGUACCAGGGUAUUAUUGCAGAGUACUGUUGGCACUGACAAAAAUACUUCUUUUUCUGCAGAAUAGUGGAAUUUUACUCUCACAGGUGACUCCUGUGCAGGAGGAUGCAGAUACAAAGGUAUUCCACGAAAAGUGGAAACGGAAGAGGGAAAACUUUUGGGCAGCUGCUCCCUUCAGGGCAGCGCAGAAUUUCUCAGAGCACAGGGAAGUGCUGGCCACCAGUUUCUUUGACAGAUCAUCAUUUGCAUCUCAUUUACGCAGGAAGCAUUUAAUCUCUUAACCAGUCAUCAGCAUUCCCGUGGGCUGUGCCCAGGGAGAUUCCGUGCGCCGGGCUCCGGCUGACACUGGCCCCCGGGCGAGGAGAGGCUCGGCUAGCGGGCCCGGGCUGCCGUGCUCCAUCUCCCACCCGAGCCUGGCUCCCUGGCACACGGCACCACUCGCGUUUCUCCUUCUCCCAGAGCCCAGCCGGCCGCGGGAGGCACCUUCUCCUCCGGGCUCGUUCCCCGCAGGAGCAGCCCCCCCCCCCCCCCCCCCCCCCCCCCCCCCCCCCCCCCCCCCCCCCCCCCCCCCCCCCCCCCCCCCCCCCCCCCCCCCCCCCCCCCCCCCCCCCCCCCCCCCCCCCCCCCC
ensembl:lncRNA